rnacentral:rRNA from 1 species
AUUGAACGCUGGCGGCAGGCCUAACACAUGCAAGUCGAGCGGUAGCACAGAGAGCUUGCUCUCGGGUGACGAGCGGCGGACGGGUGAGUAAUGUCUGGGAAACUGCCUGAUGGAGGGGGAUAACUACUGGAAACGGUAGCUAAUACCGCAUAACGUCGCAAGACCAAAGAGGGGGACCUUCGGGCCUCUUGCCAUCAGAUGUGCCCAGAUGGGAUUAGCUAGUAGGUGGGGUAACGGCUCACCUAGGCGACGAUCCCUAGCUGGUCUGAGAGGAUGACCAGCCACACUGGAACUGAGACACGGUCCAGACUCCUACGGGAGGCAGCAGUGGGGAAUAUUGCACAAUGGGCGCAAGCCUGAUGCAGCCAUGCCGCGUGUAUGAAGAAGGCCUUCGGGUUGUAAAGUACUUUCAGCGGGGAGGAAGGUGUUGUGGUUAAUAACCACAGCAAUUGACGUUACCCGCAGAAGAAGCACCGGCUAACUCCGUGCCAGCAGCCGCGGUAAUACGGAGGGUGCAAGCGUUAAUCGGAAUUACUGGGCGUAAAGCGCACGCAGGCGGUCUGUCAAGUCGGAUGUGAAAUCCCCGGGCUCAACCUGGGAACUGCAUUCGAAACUGGCAGGCUAGAGUCUUGUAGAGGGGGGUAGAAUUCCAGGUGUAGCGGUGAAAUGCGUAGAGAUCUGGAGGAAUACCGGUGGCGAAGGCGGCCCCCUGGACAAAGACUGACG